AUGGAUGGUCUAAAUACCCUUAUAAGGCACCUGAUCCUGUCUAAUCUUGAAAGCUAAGCAGGGUCAAUCCUGGGUAGUACUUGGGCUGGGGACUACCAAUGAAUACCAGGUGCUUGUAGACU
rnacentral:rRNA from 1 species